rnacentral:tRNA from 1 species
ACACUAGUGGUUCAGUAGUAGAAUUCUCACUUUUCAUGUAGGAGACCUGGGUUCAAUUCCCAGCUAGUGUA